UGGGGAAUAUUGGACAAUGGGCGCAAGCCUGAUCCAGCAAUGCCGCGUGAGUGAUGAAGGCCUUAGGGUUGUAAAGCUCUUUCGCACGCGACGAUGAUGACGGUAGCGUGAGAAGAAGCCCCGGCUAACUUCGUGCCAGCAGCCGCGGUAAUACGAAGGGGGCGAGCGUUGUUCGGAAUUACUGGGCGUAAAGGGCGCGCAGGCGGCGCGACAAGUCAGGCGUGAAAGCCCCGGGCUCAACCUGGGAAUUGCGCUUGAUACUGUCGUGCUGGAGUUCGGGAGAGGAGAGUGGAAUUCCCAGUGUAGAGGUGAAAUUCGUAGAUAUUGGGAAGAACACCGGUGGCGAAGGCGGCUCUCUGGACCGAUACUGACGCUGAGGCGCGAAAGCGUGGGGAGCAAACAGG
rnacentral:rRNA from 1 species